rnacentral:tRNA from 1 species
GGGCCUAUAGCUCAGCUGGCUAGAGCGUACGACUGAUAAUCGUAAGGUCGGUGGUUCGAGUCCACCUAGGCCCA